GGGCGCAUAGCUCAGCGGUAGAGCACUAUCUUGACAUGGUAGGGGUCACAGGUUCAAUCCCUGUUGUGCCCACCA
rnacentral:tRNA from 2 species